ensembl:lncRNA
CCUUAGAGCCCCAUAGAGACCCCAUAGAGCCCCACAGGGACUCAUAGGACUGCAUUGGACCCCAUAGAGCCCCAUAGGACCCCAUAGAGUCCCCAUAGAGCUACAUAGAGACCCCAUAGAGCCCCAUAGGACUGCAUUGGCUUCCAUAGAGCCCCAUAGGACUCCAUAGAGCCCCAUAGGAGUUCAUUGGCCGCCAUAGGACUGCAUUGGACUCCAUAGAACCCCCAUAGAGCCCCCAUAGACCCCCAUUAACACCCCAUGGGACCCCAUAGAGACCCCAUAAGACCCCAU